AUUGAACGCUGGCGGCAGGCCUAACACAUGCAAGUCGAGCGGAGCGGCGGACGGGUGAGUAAUGCCUGGGAAUCUGCCUGGUAGUGGGGGAUAACGCCCGGAAGCGGGCGCUAAUACCGCAUACUAUCAGAUGAGCCUAGGUCGGAUUAGCUAGUUGGCGGGGUAAAGGCCUACCAAGGCGACGAUCCGUAACUGGUCUGAGAGGAGGAUCAGUCACACUGGAACUGAGACACGGGCCAGACGCCUACGGGAGGCAGCAGUGGGGAAUAUUGGACAAUGGGCGAAAGCCUGAGCCAGCCAUGCCGCGUGUGUGAAGAAGGUCUUCGGAUUGUAAAGCACUUUAAGUUGGGAGGCGUUACCAACAGAGUAAGCACCGGCUAACUUCGUGCCAGCAGCCGCGGUAAUUC
rnacentral:rRNA from 1 species